rfam:Triticum aestivum genome assembly, contig: Triticum_aestivum_CS42_TGACv1_scaffold_471523_6AL
GUAAUACUCCCUCCGUCCGAAAAUACUUGUCAUCAAAAUGGAUAAAAGGAGACAUAUCUAGAACUAAAAUACGUCUAGAUGCAUCCUCUUUUAUCCAUUUUGAUGACAAGUAUUUCCGGACGGAGGAAGUACUUU